AUUGAACGCUGGCGGCAGGCUUAACACAUGCAAGUCGAGCGGGGUGAUGGUGCUUGCACUAUCACCUAGCGGCGGACGGGUGAGUAAUGCUUAGGAAUCUGCCUAUUAGUGGGGGACAACAUUUCGAAAGGAAUGCUAAUACCGCAUACGUCCUACGGGAGAAAGCAGGGGAUCUUCGGACCUUGCGCUAAUAGAUGAGCCUAAGUCGGAUUAGCUAGUUGGUGGGGUAAAGGCCUACCAAGGCGACGAUCUGUAGCGGGUCUGAGAGGAUGAUCCGCCACACUGGGACUGGAACACGGCCCAGACUCCUACGGGAGGCAGCAGUGGGGAAUAUUGGACAAUGGGCGCAAGCCUGAUCCAGCCAUGCCGCGUGUGUGAAGAAGGCCUUAUGGUUGUAAAGCACUUUAAGCGAGGAGGAGGCUACUUUAGAUAAUACCUAGAGAUAGUGGACGUUACUCGCAGAAUAAGCACCGGCUAACUCUGUGCCAGCCGCCGCAGUAACAC
rnacentral:rRNA from 1 species